ACUCUUUUCAGCUCCCCCCAAAAUUUCACUAACUCCCUCGAUUCACCUCACCCUCACACCCCCGAUCCUCUGCUCACUUCACAAAUAUCACACAUCACAGCUCUUAAUCACCGAUCUCACUGGUCCCUUCAUCCCGAUUCUCAGCUCACAUAUGGAUAUUCAUCUUGAUCUUAGAUUAAUCAAGGGUUUAAUCUCAUGGGUUUUCUUCAAAUUGCUUUUAAUUACUAAUAACUUCUUCUAAUUUAUCUUAUUUGUGUCGAUUUGGUUUGCACAUCUCCAUUUUUGUGUGUGUUUAGGGUUUUUACAAUUUCUUAAGAUUAGGGCUUAUAAUUGGGGCUUGAAAUCAAGAUAAAUGGGGUUGUAUUUUGGGGGUUUAGUUGAUUUAUUUUAGAUAUUUCGAUUUAUAUAUAGUAUUUAUUUGCUGAUAUUUUUGGUUUUGUAGAAACUAAAAGAUCUGAGGCUUUUGUUCUUUCCUGUUUCAGUUCUGUGCGAGCUCUAUGAUCUCAAGUUAAUUUGUUUGCAUUAAGGUGUAUCAUGUAAGUUUGUACUUUCAUAUAUACCUUGUGAGAUUCUUCUAUUUAGAAUGUUUAUACAAUAUUAGUUCACUAUUUUUUCACAUAUAUGGCGCUGACCAGUGGAGAAUAGUAUCUUCUAUGCCGAUGGUGCCGACUGUCAUAUUAAUGUUUUCUGGGUGUUUUUGUUACAUUCCAAGAAGAUGAUUAGGCCUUUUAAAGUUUCUUCAUUUUUAAGUAAAAGAAGUAAUUUACUAUAGAUUCUAUAUUUCUAUUAUCCUUUGCUUUUUAUUUGGCCCUGAUUUUACAUGUAAAGCACCUGGUUUUGCUAACUAAUAACAUGGCUUUGAGUAAAAGAAGUGAUUUAUUGUGGAUUCUAUAUUCCUAUUAUCUUUUACUUUUUAUUUGGCCCUGAUUUUACAUGUAAAGCACCUCAUUUCCCUAUGUAACAUGUUACUCCGGCUUGCCAUGACAAGUUUGAUCUGUAUGAGUUGAAUCACAUUUGUUUCUCUUCAUUGUUAGAUAUAUCGUAUGGGGUUAUCUAUUAUUACAAUAAAAUGUUUAAAGAUGAUAUCCCAAUUAAUGAGUAUAAUUUUAUGAGAUGUGUACCUUAGUCAAUAAGCUUCCUACCGAUUGUUAUUUUCAGCAAUGCCAAUAAGUUUACUCAUCAGUUACUUACCUUUCAUGUAGAUAUGCAAUGCAGUUUUUGUUGCAAGAAUUAUGAAUGUUUUGUUGAGGUUUGUUAAUGAAUUUGUUGCUUGAAAUUGGAACUCGUGUACACAGAGAAAGACUCUUCAGGAAACUUGACUCUCUAAUAUAAUUUUUAGUUCAUAAAUCUUGUAUGAUGCUGAGUAUUGCAUUACAGGAGUGGUAAAUUUACAAGUAGUUCGAAAUAUAUUUGUGUAGAUAUAUAGUUUAGUGACCUUAUACUAUGCACAAAAAGUCGGAAUGCUUUAGUUUAUAAGUUGGCCUUCUUUGGCUUCUGCAGGUUUUGUAUUUAAUCUCUGAUCUGUGAUGUGAUGCUCAAUUACAGGGAGAUGACAGAAGUAGAUGAGGCAUAUGAUUUUGUUAAGGUUAGUUGUUUGUUUGGUUUUAAACUGUUGGUUACAUGUAAAUGUUCAAAAAGCUACAUGUAAAUGCCAGUCAGUUUGUGUGUCCAAUUGCUUUGCUGCCUAUAUUCUUUUAUUCUUUGUGUGUAGAGUUUUUCAACUAUUAUCUGUGAAUGACUAACACAACAUCCCAGGUUCUCUCACUAAUAAUACGAGAUAUAUGUCUAGAUUGCACGACCAUGACUUCAAGUGAUCAGAAGAAAAUUUUGAAUCAAGUGCAGAAAUAUAUUUUUCUUUAGUUUAUUAUUUUAUGUGUUAUCUUUGUAUUUUCCACCGCUCGAAUAUGUUACUAUCUUAAAGCCUCCAAAUCUUUGCAAGGGAAAUUAUCAUUUUAAGUUUGGAAUGUCUUAAAGUGAUUUUCUUUGGCGAGGAAGCAAUCAGUGUUUUAAAUUUGUUUUGGAAUAUAUGUUGUGUUACAUUUUGUAUUUUUAUAUUGGUCUGUUGGGAUAGGAGGUUGUUUCUGAAUUGAUAGUCUGUUAGAUGUUCACAGUUUUACAUGUUCUGGCUUAUGUUUUCUUUUGUAUCUUUUUAAAAGAUCCUUUAAACAUGUGGGAUUCUAGUUAAAGGAUUUUCACUCAUAUAAUUUUUUUGAGGAUUAACAUACUUCUUUACAUGUUUACGUUUUGUGUGCCCAAAACCCACUGUCUUUAACUAUCAAUUAGGUGUAGAAACUCGAGUAGUAUUUAUCUCACACUGUGAUCCCUUUUAAAUUUAUAUAUGCCCUGUGUGUUUGCAGGUAGGAGUCUUAGUUUGGUCCCUACUGCAGACAUUAUUAAUUUUGCAAGCAAACUGCUAGAAGAUUUCCGAAGCUGGUAAACGUCGGGCUAGCAUCAGUAGUGUAGCUUCUCUUGACAUGUUAGGUGCAGCCUCAUUAAUUGUACAUCAUGUCAAUGACAAGUUAACUGACCAGCAGAAAUGUCCAGGGAACGUAUUUGGCAAGUGUACUCCCAAAACAUGGGAUGAUCAUGGAAUUUGUAAGAAGUCAAGUAGUCCUUACGUAUUGGGCAAUGAAAGAGAUUGUAUAGUAGCUGAUUUUUGGCUGGUAUAUGUGAUUGUAUGUUGUUACUAUAGUUGAUAAUAAAAACUUUUGUUACUAAUUU
rnacentral:lncRNA from 1 species